rnacentral:rRNA from 1 species
CAGCAGCCGCGGUAAUACGUAGGUGGCAAGCGUUGUCCGGAAUUAUUGGGCGUAAAGGGCUCGCAGGCGGUUUCUUAAGUCUGAUGUGAAAGCCCCCGGCUCAACCGGGGAGGGUCAUUGGAAACUGGGAAACUUGAGUGCAGAAGAGGAGAGUGGAAUUCCACGUGUAGCGGUGAAAUGCGUAGAGAUGUGGAGGAACACCAGUGGCGAAGGCGACUCUCUGGUCUGUAACUGACGCUGAGGAGCGAAAGCGUGGGGAGCGAACAGGAUUAGAUACCCCAGUAGUCCCUGUCUCUUAUCA